rnacentral:rRNA from 1 species
UACUGGAGGACAGGUGGCUGCAUGGCUGUCGUCAGCUCGUGUCGUGAGAUGUUGGGUUAAGUCCCGCAACGAGCGCAACCCUUGCCUUUAGUUGCCAGCAGUUCGGCUGGGCACUCUAAAGGGACUGCCGGUGUUAAACCGGAGGAAGGUGGGGAUGACGUCAAGUCCUCAUGGCCUUUAUGACCAGGGCUACACACGUACUACAAUGGCCGAUACAAAGGGCAGCGACACUGCGAGGUGAAGCCAAUCCCGUAAAAUCAGUCUCAGUCCGGAUUGGAGUCUGCAACUCGACUCCAUGAAGUUGGAAUCGCUAGUAAUCGUGGAUCAGCAUGCCACGGUGAAUACGUUCCCGGGCCUU